GAAUAAAUAAAAAUCGAAAGCUACUAAUGUGCACUAAUAAACAGGAAGUGAUAGGAGUGAGAUACAAGUGUAAAUACUCCUAAUCAGAGCAUAAAAAGUCUAGGUGCAGUCCCGUAGGAUAAGUACUAGUUAUACAGUAUCAGAAGAUGUCCUACAAAUAUUUUAUUCCGUCAGAACCGCCGAGAUCCUCAAUGCCACCAACAAAAAGUCUACCUAAAACCUGGAGGGGCCCAAAACAGAAAAUGUGAGUGGGCAAAAACAAAACUUUUCAAAAUCAUUUCAUUAUCAAACGCUCUAACCCCAAAACAUAUAUAAUUUUCCUAGAAAUAGAAUAUAAACAUAUGCAUAAAUAUAUAUGUAUAUAUCAAUUCAAAUCAUGCUUCCCAAAUCCAUAAUUAUAAGUAUGCCAUGCCAAAACAUAAAAUAGAAUAAGUAACUCAGGUGAGAAUAAAUUCAUGGAAAAAAACAUAUUAUCUGGAACCCCUGCAGAAGUCUGUACGGUUGAAUUCAUAGCUCAUUAAUCAAUCUAGCCGGAGUCACUACAAGUGACCUAUACGACAAUACACUGCACACAAGUCAGAACCACUGUAAGGGUCUGUAUGACAAGACUGGGUGUAAUAUAGUUAUGCGCAAUGCUACGCACUCAUGAUAGCUAUGCGAUAAAUCGCUAGUCAUCUACAAGUCGGAACCACCUAUGAUGGUCUGUAUGACAAGACUGUGCAUCUAAAUUGGAUCCAAUGUAAGAAUAUGGUGCGGGAGGUUAUAAACAGGCAUGUGCCAUAUCUCUAGCUAAAUCACUAACACCGGGGUGCAAGUUUAUGAGCUCUAUACCUCUCAAUUAAUCACAACCGUUAUUGACAUUCACAAUUCAUAAACUCACUGGGCUUACCUGAGCGUCCACAACACCACAACUAUAUAUUAUGCAUACAAUUCUAACUCAUGGUUUAAGCAUAAAUCAAUAGGCAUGGCAUUUUCAAAGCAUAACUCAUUUAAAUGCAUUUUCUGGGAAAAUAUCAAGCAUAUAGAUAUAUACUUAAAACCAAAAGCCCACUCACUGGUAUGUCGAAGGGUCGUAGCCCCCGAGUCGCCCUUGACUACGCUCGUCCUCGGGAUAAGUCUCCCCUAUAUGCAAAACAACUAUAAAAACGUUAAUUUAAAGCACAUAACCAAUACUAGCUAAUAACUUCUCAUACAUUGCUCAAAUGAGGUAUAUAGAUAUAUCAUCGUGAUCUACACAACACCACGACAAAGGCACGGCAACACGCGCGGCCAUGCGCAGGGACCCUAACGGAAUCCUUUAACCCCGUUAGGAAUAUUCUGUUAAAUAGUAACGGAAACUGUUAAAUUAACCAACGCCGUAAGGAAUAUUCCAUCAAAGUUUACGGAAUAUUCCGUCAUCCCCUACUUUCGAACUCCGGCGAUCGUCGACGUCGCCAGAAACUGGGAAAAUCUUAGAAUCCUUAUAUCUCCGACGUUUCUUAACCAAAAUUCAUGAAAUUGGUCUCAAUUUAAAGCUUAUAACUAGAAGAACACAUCAUUUUUCGAACUCCGGCAACCGUCGUCGUCGCCGAAAACUAGGAAAAUCUUAUAAUCCUUAUAUCUCCAACGUUUCUUAACCAAAAUUCAUGAAAUUGGUCUCAAUUUAAAGCUUAUAACUAGAAGAACACAUCAUUACCAAUUUCAAGGCUUGAAAUCCACCAAAACUCGCUGGAGAGAGCUCGAUAAUUCCAACCAAACUUUAAACUUUCCAAACUCGACCUCCCGACGUCCAAUUUACUUGGUUUUUCUUCUCCGAGCUUCCUACGAACAUCCUAAAGCUUCUUAUGAGCUUAAAAUCCCCUAAAACAUCCAUAAUUACGACCACAUGAACAGUACUCAAAUCAGGGGUGAUGGUUUCUCAGGUUUUUUAUGGUUUCACGGCUUAAAAAUAGCAUAUAUGAACUCAGGGACUUGCAAAGAGUUCAAAUCUUACCUUCUUGACAUCGAUCCAUGUGCGAAAUGUGAGUUUGGUGUUCGUCCAUACGUUUUGUAUGGAAAUGGUAGGAAGGUCGAGAGAAGGAGAGAAAGAGAGAGAGAGAGAGAGCACGGGGUGCUGUUUGUGUGUGUGUGCGUGUGUGUGUGUGUCCUCACUUGGUCAUCCACCAAAACAACCCAAAAGUUUAAUUUUUACUUGAGUCCAAAACUUAGGAACUUAACAUAAUAGUCUACAUCCCAAAUGCAUUUCACACACAUCACAAUCUCGACAUCCAAGGGUAAAAUCAUCAUUUCACGCCGUAUAAACUAAAUGUUUCGGGAUGGGCUGUGACAAUCUACCCUCCUUAUAACAUUUCUUCCUUGAAAUUAUACACAACAAAUACCUCCACUAAUAGUCAUAAAACAAGUGUGGAUAUAUCUCUCUCAUCUAAUCCUCUGUUUCCCAAGUAGCCUCUUUCACUAAGUGAUUUCUCCAUAAGACUUUCACCAAACGCACUAUCUUAUUCCUUAGAACCUUAUCUUUCCAAUCCAAAAUAGUCACUGGUUCAUCAUCAUAAGUCAAAUCCAAAUUAAUUUCCAAAGGUUGAGGAGGAAUCACAUGUGAAGGAUCUGAGAUAUAAUGUCGAAGCAUCAAAACAUGGAAUGCAUUAUGCACUUUAGACAAUUCUGAAGGCAACUCAAGCCUAUACGCAACCUCACCGACUCGCUCAGUGAUCAUAUAUGGUCCAAUGUACCUAGGACUCAGCUUGCCUUUCUUUCUAAACCACACAACACCUUUCCAUGGUGAUAGCUUCAGAAAUACCCAAUUGCCUACAUUAUACCUUCGAUCAGUGGCAUGUUUAUCUGCUAAGCUCUUUUGUCGAUCUUGGGCCGCUUUCAGGUUAGACUUAAUUACCUGUAUAUUCUGAGUAUUUUCAUCCACAAUCUCCGGGCCCACCAAAACUCUUUCACCAACUUCUGACUAGCAUAAUGGCGUUCGACAAGACUUGCCAUAGAGUGCUUCAAAUGGUGCCAUACCAAUACUCGAAUUGGUAACUGUUGUUGUAGGCAAACUCCAUCAAAUCUAAACAAUCAUGCCAACCAUCGCCAAACUGCAGCACUGAAGAUCUCAGCAUAUCCUCUAAUGUCUAGAUAGUCCUCUCAGAUUGGUCAUCUGUUUGAGGAUGAUAUGACGUACGAUAAAGUAAUCUUGUACCAAGAGCUUCUUGGAAUGCUAUCCAGAACUUGGAAGUAAAUCUAAGAUACCGAUCGGAGAUAAUAUCAACUGGAACACCAUGGUACUUCACAAUCUUUUAUAUGAAUAGCUUAGCUAAUCGGCUUAAUGGAUAUUUUUCCCUUACUAGAAUAAAGUGUGUUGACUUAGUAAGCCGAUCAACUAUCACCCAAAUGUUAUCAUAACCAUUCCGUGUACGAGGAAGCUUGUAUACCAAACCCAUGGUAAUAUUUUCCCAUUUCCACUGUGGAAUGGGAAGCAGCUGCAUCAACCCAAACGGUUUCUUCCUUUCAGCUUUAACCUGUUGGCAAACGGCACACAUACUCACAUAUUCGGCAAUUUCCCUUUUCAUACCCGACCAAUAAUAAAAUGGUCGAAUGGUAUGAUACAUCUUGGUGCCUCCUGGAUGUAUUGCAUAUGCCAAAAUAUGUGCUUCAUCAAGGAUUUCUUUCUUUAACUCUGCAUUAUUCGGCACAUACAUUCUGCUUUCCUGCAUAAGCAUACUAUCAGUUUCUCAAAUUCUGAAAUCUUUCUUCUUUCCCUGAUUCCUCACUUGAAUUAUUUCCUGGGUCUCUUCAUCAUUCAUCUUUGCCUCGAGCACACGAUCAAUUAAGAUUGGCCUAACUUGAAAAUUAGCAAGGCUUCCUCUCUAUCUUCCACUCCUAACUCCACUCCAGUGGACCUCAAAUCCAUAAGAAGAGGAACAUGACAAUCAUAAAUGGCAUUAAGUCUAACUGGAGUCUUCCUACUAAGUGCAUCUGCCACCGCAUUUGCACGACCAGGGUGAUACUCAACCGUGCAAUCGUAAUCACUAAGUAACUCAAUCCACCUCCGCUUGCUAAAGAUUUAGAUCUCUCUGAGUAAAAAGAUACUGAAUACUCUUAUGAUCUGUGAAGAUCUUACAUUUCUCACCAUAAAGAUAAUGUAUCCGAAUCUUCAAAGCAAAGAUUAUAGCCGCUAACUCCAAAUCAUGAGUAGGGUAAUUCUUCUCUUAAGGUUUCAAUUGUCUUGAAGCAUAAGCAAUCACUCUACCAAGUUGCAUCAAAACAAAACCCAGGCUAUUCAAAGAAGCAUCACUGUAUACCUUGAAAUUACCAUUAUCAUCUGGAAGUGCUAGAACAGGUGCAUGAGUGAGAUAAUACUUCAACUGCUGAAAACUUUGCUCACAAUUAUCAUCCCACUCAAACUUAACAUCUUUCCUGGUCAACCUCAUCAAUGGUAAAGCAAUCACUGAAAAAUCCUUAACAAACUGUCUAUAAUAGCCUGCUAGGCCAAGAAAGCUCCGUACCUCAGUGACGGUUCGAGGUUGUUCCCAAUUCUCCACAGCUGCCACUUUUUUAGAACUACUCAAAUACCUUGAGCUGAUAUAACAUGUCCCAAAAAUGCCACUUGAUCUAACCAAAACUGGCAUUUGCUAAACUUAGCAUAUAACUGGUGUUCCCUUAAACUUUCAACACCAAUUUAAGAUGUCUAGCAUGCUCUACUCUAGUCUUAGAGUAUACCAGAAUGUCAUCAAUGAAGACAAUGACAAACCUAUCCAAAUACGACUGGAAUACUCGAUUCAUUAAAUCCAUGAAAGUUGCUGGUGCGUUAGUUAACCCAAACGGCAUCACAAGGAACUCAUAAUGACCGUGUCGAGUCCUGAAAGCUAUUUUAGGGACAUCUUCACUUCUAAUCUUCAACUGGUAGUAACUAGACCUCAAAUCAAUCUUAGAGAACAUACAAGCACCUCGGAGUUAAUCAAACAAAUCAUCUAUGCGAGAUAACGGAUAAUGGAUAACGGUUCUUAAUUGUUACUCGAUUCAAUUGUCUGUAAUCAAUGCAUAGCCUCAAGGUUCCGUCUUUCUUUCUCACAAAUAAGACUGAAGCUCCCCAGGGUGAAGUACUAGGCUGAAUAAAACCUUUAUUCACUAAUUCUUGCAACUGAACUUUUAAUUCCCUUAAUUCAGCAGGAGCCAUUUAUAUGGAGUCAAAGAUAUAAGAUUCAUACCUAGAAGCAGAUCAAUAACGAACUCCACAUCUCUAUCUGGUGGUAAUCUAGGCAAAUCAUUAGGGAACACAUCCGAAAAAUGUCUGACCACACGUACAUCCUCCACACUAUUAGGAGUAUUAUCAUUCAACACCACAUGAGCCAAAUAUCCCUGACAACCUUUUGACAACAAUCGUUUGGCUUUCAUGGCAGAAAUAACAUCAUACCUCACUCUGCUAAACUCUCCCACAAAUGUAACUUCAGGUAAUCUAGGACGAUGAAAAGUAAUUGUCUUUCCAUAACAAUCUAUCUUGGCACGGUUAUAGUGUAACCAAUCAGUGCCCAAAAUCACAUCAAAAUCCACAAUGUCCAACGACAUAAGAUUAACUGGCAUAACCACAUCAUCCACCAUAAUUGAACAUCCUGGAUAUACCCAAUCCACAUAACAUCUCUCCCCUCUAGGCAUAGAAAACUCUAAAUCGUAUCCUAGGGGUGUAGGAUGAGGUUGCGUCACUUGAGCAAAUGUAUGAGAAACAACAUAAUGUGUAUCACCACAAUCAAUCAAUACUCUAGCAAAAUGACCAAGAAUAUUUAAUGUACCCAUGAUUAAAUCAAGAUUGUUCUAAGCAUUUUUGCAGUGUCAUAUUAUGGAUACGUCCCUGAUUCUGCUGUCGUCCACCACGACCUAUGUUAGCAUGAACACCUUGUCCUUGCCUUGGCUGACCAGACUGCCUUGAAGAUACUGCACUUCUAGCAGCAAUCUCUACCUGCUGGGGCUGUCCCCAUUGGUACCAUUGGGAUCUACCUACUGAAUGUGGCUGAUAUGGCAUAGAACCUCCUUGAUACUGAGGGUAACCACCCUGAUAAUGAGGAUCCUGUGAGUACUGAUACUGCCCUGAAGUAUAAAGAGCGACGUCACCCUGAUAAUGAUAAGCACCACCACAACCAGUCUAACCAUAACCAUUAGAUCCUGAAGCUUGUUGGGUUGGCGCAGGUGGUGGUAAAGAGGGUUGUUGGGGCUUCUGCUGAUUCUGAGAGCAAUAUACAGCCUUAUGCCCAACCUGUCCACAAGUAUAGCAUUCACUGCUGCCUCUCCUACAUUCUCCAAAAUGCCUAUUAUUACACAUGCGACAUAGAGGAGCACUCAUACCACCUGAACCACCAAAGUCCCUUUGCCUCUGAAAUCUUGGGCCUUCAGCAAAUCUACCACCUCUCUUCUGCACAUUAGAGCUCAAACCUCCACUAAAAAAGUUAGAACUGCCACCGCUUCUCUUAAAACUCUGGGUCUUACGAGGUCCCUAAGAUGAUUGACCUUUACCUUUAUCAUCUCGCCUCUGGUUCCCGUUCUUUUCUUCUUCAUCUUCACUUUCACUGGGCAUGCUCUUUGAGUCCUCAAUCUGCAGUAAAACCUCAUAAAACUUCUGGUAAGUGGCAUAGGGAGUCAAUGUCGUUAUAGAAAGCCAUUUCUUCUUAGUACCCAACCUGAAACGACGAAGCAUCUCGACCGGAUUAGCAGCAACCUCCGGAUUAUAUCAAGACAAAUCAGUGAACCUCCUGUAAUACUCAUUCCCCGACAUUUUUCCUUGUUUCAGAUGAGUAAACUCUUGUUUCUUGCGAUCAAUGUACUCAGGGGGAAUAAACCUUUUCUGAAACAACUCAUGUCUCCACCAGGAUGCAGGCUUCGGACCCAAAAACCAGGUAGUCGUCUCGACCCACCUAUUAAGAUUCCCUUGACUCUGCAUAACAAGGAAAGUCUUCUCGACAUAAUUAAGCCACUUCUCCGCUCCCUCAUGUCCUUCAUUUCCCAUGAAAUGAUUCAGCUUCAGAUUAUACACAGUCUCAAGAGGUGUCAUUUGAGGAUGACGGAGUGAAGACUGAAUGGCAUUAGAUAUAGCUUCCCCUAAUUGAGCAAUAUCAGGGAAACUAGGCUCAGCUGAGUGACAUGGCUCUCUACGAGGUGGCAUAGUUCUGACAAAAGACAUCAUAAUGAUUAGAUUAUUCAUAAGAUAUAUAGGAUUGCUAAACCUAGGCUCUGAUACCAAACUGACACACCCUGACCGAGAUCGAGGCGUGCUGGCCAUCACGUAAGGGUGACGUAGCCAUAUGCACAGUGCGAAAGAAAUAAAGAUAAGAAAUAUAUGAAUAAAUAAAAACCGAAAGCUACUAAUGUGCACUAAUAAACAGGAAGUGCUAGGAGUGAGAUACAAGUGUAAAUACUUCUAAUCAGAGCAUAGAAAGUCUAGGUGCAGUCCCGUAGGACAAGCACUAGUUAUACAGUACCAGAAGAUGUCCAACAAAUAUUUUAUUCCGUCAGAACCGCUGAGAUCCUCAAUGCCACCAUCAGCAAGUCUACCUAAAACCUGGAAUGGCGCAAAACAGAAAAUGUGAGUGGGCAAAAACAAAGCUUUUCAAAAUCAUUUCAUUAUCAAACGUUCUAACCCUUCUCCGUAAAACAUGUAUAAUUUUCCCAUAAAUAGAAUAUAUGCAUAAAUAUAUAUGUAUAUAUCAAUUCAAAUCAUGCUUCACAUAUCCAUAAUUAUAAGUAUGCCUUACCAAAACAUAAAAUAGAAUAAGUAGCUCAGGUGAGAAUAAAUUCAUGGAAAUAACAUAUUAGCCGGAACCCCUACAGAAGUAUAUACGGUUGAAUUCAUAGUUCAUUAAUCAAUCUAGCCGGAGUCACUACAAGUAACCUAUACGGCACUACACUGCACACGAGUCGGAACCACUGUAAGGGUCUGUACGACAAGACUGGUGUAAUACAGUUAUCCUCAAUGCUACGCACUCAUGAUAGUUAUGCGAUAAAUCGCUAGUCACCUACGAGUCGGAACCACCUAUGAUGGUCUGUACGACAAGACUGUGCACCUAAAUUGGAUCCAAU
rnacentral:lncRNA from 1 species